GGGAUGCAUAAUCACUCACACAUGGUGGGCCAGGCUUGAAGGACUGGCAGACAGAAUGCCACCAUGAGGAGGAGGAGGAGGCAUAGUCAUCUGGCCUUGAUUUAUAUUUAUCACCUUCAGCUCAAAAAGAAGAACUACCAUAGAGCAGUAUAACAGAAGUAAUUUAAGAUUUAAAAUCAGAAGACCUGGAUUCGAGUCUAAUCCCAUUGAUCAAGUUCAAUCCAGUAAUGCUCAACGUUCUCAUGUCGUCUCAUCCCACCUCAUCCUUAAGGUGGAAAUAAUAAUAUCUACUGCACAGAGUUGUUGUAGAUUCAUUAAAAUGAAGGUUAUAAAUGUCCCAGUACAGUGAUCAGCAUGCAGACACAUUGGCUCCUGGUCUUUAGGAUCAGCUUGCUUUGAAAAACCAAUCAGUGUGCUGGAUAAUAUUCAACAUGAACUUCACAGUGUGAGUCAGUACCUUCAGGAUGCUUACUGUCAGAGAUAUUUUUCCUGGGUCUGUAGUAGACAGGGUGGCUAUUGCAUCUGGAUCCCCAGACCACUGGGAAUCAGUUGGAUGCGGUUGGAGUGGGCACUGCUCUACUCUUGGCAUAAGAGUGGGCACAGGCCCCUGGCCUGGUCAAUCAGUUUCUUUCCUGAGAAAUUUCCAGGUGCUUUGGGAAAGAGGGACUGCAACUAGAGGACAUCUUUCCUAACACAUGGAGAACUCUGCAAGGAAAUGGAGUCAACAAAAAGGAAAGAAGGAACAAGAGGAGAGGCCAUCACAGAAAGGAGGACAUGUCAUGUAUGGAACCAGACACCCACCUUUCGGAAUUCCUGAUCCUUUAUUUGCUUAAGUUAGUUUGAGUUGAGCUUCUGUCCCUCACACCUGAGAGGAUCUAGACUAAACGCGUCCAUCUGGAGGGCCAUGAGUAGAAAUGUCCUUGCUUUCCUGC
rnacentral:lncRNA from 10 species